AUCUCUGUGGCGCAAUGAGUCAGUACAUCUCACUGCUAACCAGAAGGUUGGUGGUUCAAGCCCACCCAGGGAUG